rnacentral:lncRNA from 1 species
CGGGGAAAAUAUGAUAAAAUUUUGGAACAUGUUGUCAAUGAGCCACAGAAAGAAGAGUUCAAGACAAAACAAGCUCUUACAUUGUCUUAUCACUACUUUGUUUGUAAGAAAGUUACUAUUUAUUAUAGUUUUUUCUGUAAUUACUGUAUAAAAUAAAACCAAUUAUAUCAAAUUUUUAAAAUCAAAUAUAAAAACGGAACAUAAGUUGAUUGCUGUCAUUAGAGAAGAAAAACACAUAUGUAAGGUAUAAGAGAUUGAGUGGGUUAGGGUAUGUGAUCCAGUGGCAAAUAUUACAUGCAUAUCAGAGCAAUAUCAUCUUAUUGCUGCAUGAAAAAUUGAUAGAUAAAAAGCAAAUACGUGUUGUAUUGUUACAUGUAUAAAUUUACCUACAAAAUAA